rnacentral:rRNA from 1 species
UACGGAGGGUGCAAGCGUUAUCCGGAUUCACUGGGUUUAAAGGGAGCGCAGGCGGGCUGGUAAGUCAGUGGUGAAAGCCUUGAGCUUAACUCGAGAACUGCCAUUGAUACUAUCAGUCUUGAAUAUUGUUGAGGUUUGCGGAAUGGGUCAUAUAGCGGUGAAAUGCAUAGAUAUGACCCGGAACACCUAUUGCGAAGGCAGCAGGCUAAACAAAGAUUGACGCUGAGGCUCGAAAGCGUGGGGAUCAAACAGG